AAUCAAGCGCGAGAAGGGCGUUUGGUGGAUGCCUUGGCAGUAAGAGGCGAUGAAGGACGUGAUACUCUGCGAUAAGUCCUGGGGAG
rnacentral:rRNA from 1 species